GACGAACGCUGGCGGCGUGCUUAACACAUGCAAGUCGAACGAAGUGGCGAACGGGUGAGUAAUACGUGAGUAACCUGCCCUCCUUUUUGGGAUAAGCCUUGGAAACGGGGUCUAAUACCGGAUAAAGGGGGAUGGGCUCGCGGCCUAUCAGCUUGUUGGUGGGGUGAUGGCCUACCAAGGCGGUGACGGGUAGCCGGCCUGAGAGGGUGGUCGGCCGCGUUGGGCGUGAGAUACGGCUCAGGCUCGUACGGGAGGGGGAAGUGGGGGAUAUGGCACAAUGGGCGCAAGCCUGAUGCAGCGACGCCGCGUAAGGGAUGAAGGCUUUCGGGUUGUAAACCUCUUUCGGUACAGAACGGGUAUGUGCCGAAGAAGCGCCGGCUAACUACGUGCCAGCAGCCGCGGUAAUUC
rnacentral:rRNA from 1 species